rnacentral:rRNA from 1 species
GCCAGACUCCUACGGGAGGCAGCAGUGAGGAAUAUUGGUCAAUGGUCGGGAGACUGAACCAGCCAAGCCGCGUGAGGGAUGAAGGUACAGAGUAUCGUAAACCUCUUUUGUCAGGGAACAAAGGCGGGGACGUGUCCCCGGAUGAGUGUACCUGAAGAAAAAGUAUCGGCUAACUCCGUGCCAGCAGCCGCGGUAAUACGGAGGAUGCGAGCGUUAUCCGGAUUUAUUGGGUUUAAAGGGUGCGUAGGCGGAAUAUCAAGUCAGCGGUAAAAAUUCGGGGCUCAACCCCGUCGUGCCGUUGAAACUGAUGUUCUUGAGUGGGCGAGAAGUAUGCGGAAUGCGUGGUGUAGCGGUGAAAUGCAUAGAUAUCACGCAGAACUCCGAUUGCGAAGGCAGCAUACCGGCGCCCAACUGACGCUGAAGCACGAAAGCGUGGGUAUCGAACAGGAUUAGAUACCCUAGUAU